GACGGGGGAUGCAAGCGUUAUCCGGAAUGAUUGGGCGUAAAGCGUCCGCAGGUGGGGAGUCAAGUCGACUGUCAAAACUUCUAGCUUAACCGGAGAAAGGCAGUGGAAACUGGAGAGCUAGAGAGCAAUAGGGGUAGAGGGAAUUCCCGGUGUAGCGGUGAAAUGCGUAGAUACAGGGAAGAACACCAGUGGCGAAAGCGCUCUACUAGGUUGCAUCUGACACUGAGGGACGAAAGCUAGGGGAGCGAAUGGG
rnacentral:rRNA from 1 species